AUUGAACGCUGGCGGCGUGCCUAACACAUGCAAGUCGAUCGGUAACAGGUGUAGCAAUACAUGCUGACGAGAGGCGGACGGGUGAGUAACGCUUGGGAAUCUGCCUAUUAGUGGGGGACAACCCGGGGAAACUCGGGCUAAUACCGCAUACGCUCUACGGAGGAAAGCCGGGGACCGCAAGGCCUGGCGCUAAUAGAUGAGCCCAAGUCGGAUUAGCUAGUUGGUAGGGUAAUGGCCUACCAAGGCGACGAUCCGUAGCUGGUCUGAGAGGACGACCAGCCACACUGGGACUGAGACACGGCCCAGACUCCUACGGGAGGCAGCAGUGGGGAAUAUUGGACAAUGGGGGAAACCCGUGAUCCAGCGACGCCGCGUGGGUGGAAGAAGGCCUGCGGGUUGGUAAAGACCC
rnacentral:rRNA from 1 species